ACUGAUGCCAGGUUCUACCACACACCCCCAUCGGGGAAAUGCGUCCGACCCACAGGCCCAUACGGGCAUCCGGGCGCAUGGAAACGAUGGAACGCCAUUCACGGGUAGGACCGCACAAUGAGUAACCGACGUUAAUCAAGGGUGAAUGGCAACGCGUUAGAACUCCGGGGACGGAGUGAGCGUGGGUGGCCCUCUUGGAGCAUU
ncrna:unclassified sequences lysM-Actino RNA